AGGAUAAACGCUGGCGGCGUGCCUAACACAUGCAAGUCGAACGCUCUUUUGCUCGCAAGAGCCAGAGGGAGUGGCGGACGGGUGAGUAACACAUGGGUAACCUACCCCCAGUGAGGAAUACCGGCGAGAAAUCGCCGACAAGACCGCAUAGGCUCGGUCCGGUGAAGCGGAGCGAGCAAAGUCUCGCAAGAGACGCUGAGGGAUGGGCCUGUGGCCGAUUAGCUAGUUGGUAAGGUAAAGGCUUACCAAGGCGACGAUCGGUAGCUGGUCUGAGAGGACGAACAGCCACACUGGGGAUUGAGAACGGCCCAGACUCCUACGGGGGGCAGCAGUGAGGAAUUUUCCGCAAUGGACGCAAGUCUGACGGAGCAACGCCGCGUGCAGGAGGACGCUUUUCGAAGUGUAAACUGCUUUUCUGUGGGACGAGAGUGGACGGUACCACAGGAAGAGCCCCGGCUAACGUACGUGCCAGCAGCCGC
rnacentral:rRNA from 1 species